ACAGAGAAUGGAUGAUAUAUGAAGAACAGACUUUGAAAUAUCUAUUACAUUGGCCUCUUUAUUCCUGGGCGCGUGUUUCUUUUUUCUAUUUCCUUUACCUGCCAAACAAAACAUUAAAAAAUACGGUAUAGAAUAGUUUGUCACUGGCUUCUAUUACGGUGCGAGCUGAAGCUGUGUUGAAGAAUUGUACCAAAAACCCAGCUCCAUCUUAGUAAAAUAAAUAUCCUAAAUUCUAUUCCAUCUCGAUAUCCGAGAAACCUGCGAUCUCGGGUAUAAUGGAAAUUUUUUUUUCAACAAUGCAAUAAGAUCAAGGAGGAGGGCGGUGGGUUCACCACAAAAGGAAGUAAAAGACAAAAUCGGCAGUUGUAUCGCAAACAGAUGAAGUCAUCACGGCAUAAAAUAUAGGAACAGCGUUCAUCGGGACUUGGAGGAUCAUGCCGCCGGUUCCUAAGGCCAUCCAUGGUCCGUCCAAAUAAGGCGAGCUGUUCCUCCUCACUCUGCCGAAGGUGCAUUUCUAUAGUCUUAUUUGUAACGAAG
rnacentral:sRNA from 1 species